rnacentral:lncRNA from 1 species
UCCACUCGGUCACAUCCUAUUGAUCAUACAUAAAGUUUUGAUAUCACUUUAUAAUCUCAAUGAUCUUAAACCUAAGCUCUGAUAUUAUUCUAUCAUAUCCUAAUCAUUUAUAUCAUUUAUAUCAUAAUCUCCAAUGAUUAUAACCUAAGCUCUGAUACCAUAAAAUAUCACGCUCCAAAUUCGGGACAUAGCACGGUCAUGCUACCGAGGGAUGGAGCCCACGAUAACACGAAGCAAANNNNNNNNNNNNNNNNNNNNUUUUCUUAGUGGUGAAACAUGAAAGACAUUGUGCACUUUAGAUAAAUCCGAUGGUAAGGGGAGUUUGUAAGCAACAUCUCCUACUCGGCUCAAAAUUUCAAAAGAUCCAUUAUAUCGUGGGCUCAGCUUGCCAUGUCUCCCAAAUCUCAUGACACUUUUUGUAGGUGAUACUUUUAGAAAAUUAUGAUCACCGACCUGAAAUUCUAAUUCUCUUCUUUUUCUAUCUGGCCAACUUUUCUGUCUAUCCUGUGCUGCCUUGAGUCUUUCCUUGAUCAGAUAGAUUUUCUCUUUAGCAUCCUUUUAUUAUCAGUAAAAUCCUUCCUUAUUUACAACUAACGUAUUUCAUAAUAUCUUUUGAUUUAAAGGAUUAAUAUUUCUAAUCAAUUCAGAUCAUCACGCUUUUGCUGCGCACUCUGAUCUCAACU